AUUCCAGGUUCAUCUUUUAACUAUAGAAAAUUCCAUAAGAAGAACCUAAUAAUCCCCCGGGGUCAUCCAGAACCACUGAACACAUACCCUGUGUUCUAAAUAUAAUCCUUUACAUUUUUCCUUAGAGGAAUACUAAUCACAUGUGUGGGCCAUAUGUUGCCGUUUAAUAUCUCCCCAAUCAGCAAGAAAUCUCCUCAGAUUUUUCACAGGAUCCCUGAGGAACCAGAAAUAGACAGCAGGAGAAUCCAGUUUGAAUGAGAAACGUGUGUUUCAAAACAACCGUCAAGGAAUUUACGUCGUCAAACCCAUUUCAAAGAUGAGAGACAGUAAGGCAUGAAGAGAUCAACUGGCCAUCGCCUACAAUGUGUUGUUUCUUGUUUUGGAGGAAGCCAGUAUCCAGGUCGCAAAGACACUCAAGCAGCCCCACAGAGAGGCCCGAGUGGAGAGCACUGACCUGCCAGUCACGUGAGGGAGUCACGUUAGAAGUAAACCCUUCAGACCCAGCCAAGCCGUCAGACCGCUGCAGUGCAGCUGAUAUCUGGCUGUAACCUUGUGAGACAUCCUGAGCCAGAACAACCCAGCCAAGCCACUCCAGAAUUCCCAAGACGCAGAAACUGUGAGGUCACGGGUGAUUGCUGUUGCUUUAAAUAAACCACUACCUUUAUAAACAUAUAAGCACCUUCUAUAUAUUGUUGUAUUUAAUCCUUACCACAGUCUUAUGAGGCAGAUACCA